GUGCAGGUGGAUUCAUGCGAGUUUGUAAGUUGCUGCUCCUGCUCUCUGUCUACUUAUUUCUCUUUUUUGUCCAGGCCGCACAAGGAGCAGCGAGGAUGGUGGUGCUAGAGAUCCUCACAUGUAUGAUGGAAUGCCCCAAAGAGUAUGACCACUAUGCAUGUUGAGGAGUAUGGGUAGUAUGAAGAUUCAUGGAAGUAUCUGAAGAUUCAAAUAUUCAGUCCUAUCUCCACUCCAUGAGGGUUAAAUCGAAAAUUCAGACCGCUUUAGUCAAAGAUGUCUCGCAGCGAGGCCAUCAAUGGAAGAUCCCUUGUGCGUGUCGCCCACGUCCGGGGAUAC